GAGAGUAAAGUGCAGUUUUCCUCCGCUCCUCAAGGCGGCAGAAGCGGGUUCUCCUUCAGUCUGACGCUUCUGCUGCUUGACAACAUGACGCUUGAUGACAAUCACAACAACAUGAGCAGAUCCUGCAGAUGAGAAGAUGACAGCUCUUAAUGUCACUUUAACAGCACAUAUUACAGCUCAACCGCAAAUAAAACCGACGCAAUCAAACGACACAUAAAUGAGGGAACCGAGUGCGGCACAAGACUCACCUAAGGAAUGUGUUUGGACCAUUACAUCCAGUCAUCAGAAGCAGAGCUGUGGGACGUGUGGACAGACAUUGACUGUAAUGAUGGACGUCUGCUGAUGGACAGCAUAACCCCUGCUGCUGACUGUCCCGGAAGCUCCGGGGGGAGACCGUACUGGUAUCCCCCUCCUUUGGGCGCGCCACUCACACACUCACACAACAUCCACUCCUAUCGCGGAGAUCUGGCUGGGAUCAAACCAGCAACCUCUGAACCCGUGAGGCAGCGCUCUUACCUGUGAGCCACAGAUCUCUUGCUGAUGAUGUGCUGGAACUUAUAUUUCACUGUUAUCCUGAGAGUUUCCAAUAAAGCAGUUAAAGUGAGAUUC